rnacentral:rRNA from 1 species
CAGCAGCCGCGGGAACACGGAGGGAGCUAGCGUUAUUCGGAAUUACUGGACGUAAAGCGCACGUAGGCGGCUUUGUAAGUUAGAGGUGAAAGCCUGGAGCUCAACUCCAGAAUUGCCUUUAAGACUGCAUCGCUUGAAUCCAGGAGAGGUGAGUGGAAUUCCGAGUGUAGAGGUGAAAUUCGUAGAUAUUCGGAAGAACACCAGUGGCGAAGGCGACUGACUGGACAAGUAUUGACGCUGAGGUGCGAAAGCGUGGGGAGCAAACAGGAUUAGAUACCCCCGUAGUCCCUGUCUCUUAUAC